UACCAGCACCCCGAGUGGUCGGGAUGUUUAUUGGGCCUAAAGCAUCCGUAGCCGGUUCUACAAGUCUUCCGUUAAAUCCACCUGCUUAACAGAUGGGCUGCGGAAGAUACUAUAGAGCUAGGAGGCGGGAGAGGCAAGCGGUACUCGAUGGGUAGGGGUAAAAUCCGUUGAUCCAUUGAAGACCACCAGUGGCGAAGGCGGCUUGCCAGAACGCGCUCGACGGUGAGGGAUGAAAGCUGGGGGAGCAAACCGG
rnacentral:rRNA from 1 species